UACGGAGGAUGCAAGUGUUAUCCGGAAUCACUGGGCGUAAAGCGUCUGUAGGUGGUCAAAUAAGUCAACUGUUAAAUCUUGAGGCUCAACCUCAAAAUCGCAGUCGAAACUAUUCGACUAGAGUAUAGUAGGGGUAAAGGGAAUUUCCAGUGGAGCGGUGAAAUGCGUAGAGAUCCGGAAGAACACCGGUGGCGAAGGCGGCCUGCUGGGCAGUUGCUGACACUGAGGCGCGAAAGCGUGGGGAGCAAACAGG
rnacentral:rRNA from 1 species